UUCUCAGAAUUAUUUCUCUGAAAUUCAUUAACAGGAUUUCUACUGCUGUUUUCUUUCUGGAAUGCUUCUUGAUGUUCUUAUGUCAGCCAGAGCUUUCUCCUCUGUUGCAGAUAAGAGCAAUGGCCAGAACAUGGAACUAUUCCUGUGAGUCAAGACUUCAGCAAUACCUUGAUAUUUGUGAAUUAUGCAGAAUUUGCUUAUAAUACACAGACUUAUCCAGCUCUAUUGCCUAGAGAAAAACACAUUUUAUCAUCACUAUUCAUGCCUUCCAUUCUUGACACCUCUUUGAAAGCACAGGAAGUGCUGCCUUGUGUAACAUUGUGGUCAUCCGCUCUAGGGAGAGAUUCCUGCUACAUUAUGAGUUGGUGGUAAGCCUUACUUUCUGGCAUAAUAAAAAUAGAUGGUCUGUCAAAAGAUGAUGUUCUCAAUGCUUUGUUUUGUAGUUCUAUCCUGCCAUCUUCUCUGAAUUAGCAAAUGUGAAAUGCAGCAUAUGGAUUUAUGAAAAGAAAAGUGCAAGAUGUGAAAUAUCCUGAGUAUCUGGAUCUUCGAACAUACGCAUCUCAAUCCGUUGGAGAACCACUCCUCUAUGCCUUAUAUGCAGUCCUGGUAUAUAGAGGUGUCAGUAGUCAUGCAGGACGUUAUUUCUGCUACACAAAGGUAAAUAACAAUUUCAUUUCUAACAGGGUGAGCUCUGUGCUGGUGAGGAGGUACUUGCAUGAAAACUUUACUGGUAACCACUGCUUUUAGGGAAAAAGGUUUUAUUUCAUGUUUAAUUUGAUCUUUUUUGGUGUAUUCUCUGUUCUGAAGAGUUCUCUUUGUGUUUUCAUUUAGAAAGUGUGCAGUUCCUCUGAAGACAUGGCUGCUUUUAUUUGCAGGCUGCUGGUAGACUUUGAUAUGAGAUGAAUGAUGCCUCUGUAGUCUUUUGUGAAAUCAAAAUGGUUCUCAGUCAGCAAGCUUAUUUACUUUUUAAUAUCAGAAAUCAAGUCAUUUAAAUGGAAAUGAACCCCUAAAAGAAGAUCCAAAUACCAUUGCUGUUACCCUAGAAAGGCCUUCUUCGGCUCCACCAACAGCUUGUGUUCAAAACUAGGCAAUUACCAGGCCUUUAUUUGCUGAUCCCUCAGAAAAACAAAAGAUCACUUCAUAACAAACUGCCUGCACAUCAAACUGUCUCAGCCUGACUGUUUUAGCAGUGCUGUGGUGGAUGAGGAUCUAAACAAGCCUGUUCCUUCAUCCACAGUGUGGCGGACAGAUGAGUGAAUUUUUGCC